rnacentral:misc_RNA from 1 species
UACGAAGGGUGCAAGCGUUGUUCGGAAUUAUUGGGCGUAAAGCGCACGUAGGCGGCUCUGUAAGUCUCACUGUGAAAGCCCGGGGCUCAACCCCGGGAGGCCAGGGGAUACUGCAGGGCUGGAGACAGGCAGAGGCUGGUAGAAUUCCGGGUGUAGCGGUGGAAUGCGUAGAGAUCCGGAGGAAUACCUGAGGCGAAGGCGGCCAGCUGGGCCUGAUCUGACGCUGAGGUGCGAAAGCGUGGGGAGCGAACAGG